rnacentral:rRNA from 1 species
UUACCUACGGGACGCAGCAGUGGGGAAUAUUGCACAAUGGGGGAAACCCUGAUGCAGCAACGCCGCGUGGGUGAAGGAGCGUUUCGGCGCGUAAAGCCCUGUCAGCGGGGAAGAAGAAAGACGGUACCCGACCAAGAAGCUCCGGCUAACUACGUGCCAGCAGCCGCGGUAAUACGUAGGGAGCAGGCGUUGUCCGGAAUUACUGGGUGUAAAGGGAGCGUAGGCGGGGAUGCAAGUUGGGUGUCAAAAC